rnacentral:rRNA from 1 species
CAGCCGCCGCGGUAAUACGUAGGGGGCGAGCGUUACCCGGAUUCACUGGGCGUAAAGCGGGUGUAGGCGGCUCGGUAAGUCGGGUGUGAAAUCCCACAGCUCAACUGUGGAAUUGCGCCCGAAACUGCUGAGCUUGGGGCCGGUAGAGGGAGACGGAACUGCCGGUGUAGGGGUGAAAUCCGUAGAUAUCGGCAGGAACGCCGGUGGGGAAGCCGGUCUCCUGGGCCGCGCCCGACGCUGAGACCCGAAAGCUAGGGGAGCAAACCGGAUUAGAUACCCGGGUAGUCCUAGCCGUAAACGAUGCCCACUAGGUGUGGGGGAUUAAUUCCUCCGUGCUGUAGCUAACGCGUUAAGUGGGCCGCCUGGGGAGUACGCCCGCAAGGUUGAAACUUAAAGGAAUUGGCGGG